GACGAACGCUGGCGGCGUGCCUAAUACAUGCAAGUAGGACGCAGUUGCGAACGGGUGAGUAACGCGUAGGUAACUACCUAUUAGAGGGGGAUAACUAUUGGAAACGAUAGCUAAUACCGCAUACUAGUAGAUGGACCUGCUUUGUAUUAGCUAGUAGGUAGGGUAAUGGCCUACCUAGGCAACGAUACAUAGCCGGGCUGGGGGGGGGAUCGGCCAAAAUGGGACUUGGACAAGGGCCAGACUCCUCAGGGAGGGAGCCGUAGGGAAUCUUCGGCAAAGGGGGGAAACCUGACCGAGCAACGCCGCGUGAGUGAAGAAGGUUUUCGGAUCGUAAAGGUCUGUUGUUAAGGAAGCGGUACUUAACCAGAAAGGGACGGCUAACUACGUGCCAGCAGCCGCGGUAAUUC
rnacentral:rRNA from 1 species